rnacentral:rRNA from 1 species
UACGGGGGGUGCGAGCGUUGUCCGGAAUCACUGGGCGUAAAGGGCGCGUAGGUGGUUUGAUAAGGGUGUGGUGAAAGUCCGGGGCUCAACCCCGGAUCUGCCGUGCCGACUGUCAAACUCGAGGGCUGUAGAGGCAGACGGAAUUCCGGGUGUAGUGGUGAAAUGCGUAGAGAUCCGGAGGAACACCAGUGGCGAAAGCGGCCACCGUGGACUGCACCUGACGGCUGAAACGCGAAAGCUAGGGGAGCGAACGGG